rnacentral:rRNA from 1 species
AUGCCGCGGAUCACUUCGGUGGAGAGCCCCGGCUGCCCGCCGCUCCGCGCCAUCACCACCGACAUCCUCGGCCUCAUCAAAGUCGUCGAGGCCCGCACUAGACCGGCGGGCGUCGCCAAGGUCGUCGAGACGUGGGGCGAACCCGACGCCUCCAGGGCCAUCCUCGUCGCUUCACUCGCCGACCGAGCCGUCGACCCCGUUUUGGCUGUGGCAAGGAAGAACGGUGUGGUUGAGUUGCUGAAUCCCCUGAAUGGUGAUGCUCUGGCCGCUUUCAAGUUCUCUAGGACAGACCAAACUGUCGGAGCUGUGGAAAAUGAUCCCCUAGUCGCCCUGCACCUCUUCAGAAAACAUGCACCAGACUUAACCACGUUAGGUACAUUUCUUGCUUGUACGGAGAAGGGCAAAGCAAGUGUGAGAUCUGUUGCAAAAGAAAACACGGCAUCUGACUCGGAUGUUGGGCCAUCAAGCACUUGGGACGUGUGUAACAAGGGUACAUUGCAGUUUUCAUCUGUGGAUGCUGGUGAAAACUAUGCAAUGUUCGGAGGGAAUGGUAUGGAAGUAAACUUGUGGGAUAUCACAUCUUGUAGUAAGAUGUGGUCUGCUAAAUCUCCCCGAGCUAACAACGUUGGUAUAUUUACCAAACCUUGGUUCACUGCUGGAACUUUCCUGUGCAAGGAUGAUCACCGUAAAAUUGUAGCCGGCACAAAUAAUCAUCAGGUUCGCUUAUACGAUACUGCUUCGCAAAGAAGACCUGUUGUUUCAGUUGAUUUUAGGGAGUCACCAAUCAAGGCAGUUGCAGGGGAUCCAGAUGGACAUACUGUCUAUAUUGGGACAGGAACAGGAGACCUCGCUUCCUUUGACAUGAGAACAGGAAAACUACUCGGAUGCUAUGUUGGUAAAUGCAGUGGAAGUAUUAGAUCGAUAGUUAGGCAUCCGGAGCUGCCUUUGAUAGCAUCUUGCGGAUUGGACAGCUACUUGCGAAUCUGGGAUACAAAUACAAGGCAGCCGCUUUCUGCGGUCUAUCUCAAGCAGCACCUCAUGACAGUGGUUAUUGAUUCACAUUUCUCAGCUGAAGAAUCUGAGGAGACUAAAUCCAAGCAGCCAGAUUCUUCAAUGGUGGCUGAAGCUGCAGUCAGAAGGGAAAAAAAGAAAAAGAAGAAUGUAUUUGUUGAAGAGGAUGAAGAAGGAACUCAAAUGGUGGACCCUGAUGACUGUGAUGCUGAAGCAGUCAGAAAGGAAAAGAAGAAAAAGAAGAAGAAAACUGUUACAGAGGAUGAUGAAGAAACACAAAUGGUCGACCCGGAUGAAGGCGAUGCUGAAACAGUCAGAAAGGUAAAGAAGAAAAAGAAGAAUAGAAGGGUUGCAGAGGAUGAGGAAGGAACUCAGAUGGCUGACCUUAAUGACAGUGAUGCUGAGAUGUAUGCCCCAAAGAGAAUAAAAUCUGAAUCUGGCGAAAGAAGCAAAGGCACGAAAAAGAAAAGCAAGAAGCAACAAGUUGCCUAG